rnacentral:rRNA from 1 species
AUUGAACGCUGGCGGCAGGCCUAACACAUGCAAGUCGAACGAGUGGCGGAGGGGUGAGUAAUGUCUGGGGAACUGCCCGAUGGAGGGGGAUAACUACUGGAAACGGUAGCUAAUACCGCAUACCAUCGGAUGUGCCCAUAUGGGAUUAGCUCGUAGGUGGGGUAACGGCUCACCUAGGCGACGAUCCCUAGCUGGUCUGAGAGGAUGACCAGCCACACUGGAACUGAGACACGGUCCAGACGCCUACGGGAGGCAGCAGUUGGGAAUAGUGCACAAUGGGCGCAAGCCUGAUGCAGCCAUGCCGCGUGUAUGAAGAAGGCCUUCGGGUUGUAAAGUACUUUCAGCGAGGAGGCGUUACUCGCAGAAGAAGCACCGGCUAACUCCGUGCCAGCAGCCGCGGUAAUUC